rnacentral:tRNA from 1 species
CCUGGUGGCUCAGGCGGUAAAGCGUCUGCCUGCAAUGCAGGAGACCUGGGUUCGAUUCCUGGGUCAGGA